AGGAAAGGGACUGGCAGUGGGUCCUGGAAAAGAAGAGAGUGUGAGCAUCCUAGCUAAGCGGGGAGGCGACCCCCUCAAAGGGUUUCUUCAGAGUUACUUCUUUGCUCAGACACCGCCAAAGGCGAUGUGAAACAUUCAAGUCUGGGAAGACAAUAUGUAUACGUACAUGCAUAUGUCUUUUUUCUUUUGUGGUUACUGGGGAAAUCAAACCCAGGGCCUCACAUACAUGAAGCAAAUGUUUCACCAGUGAGUCAUAUCCUCAGCUAUAUAGUGAGACCUUGUGUCCAAAGAAGAAAGUGAUUGGACCUUCAGGCUCUGACCCCACCAGUGGACCAAUGCCCUGCUGGAUUUAUAAUAUGAUGACGUUAUUGGGAGAUGGGACUAGCUGGAGGAAAAAGGUCCCUGAGGUCACACCCUGGAAAGAUAAUGCCAUUUACCCGACCCCUUCAUGCCUCUCUCUUCCUGUCUCCUGUCCACACCAAGGUAGACGUCAAUAUUCCUCAGCGGCGCCAUUCUGCCACGCCGGUCACAAGCACCCACAAACAAAAGGCUGCCUGUGGGUGGGAUCUCCGACACCACACGCCAGAAUGAAUCCCGUCUACUAUGAGAUGGUUUCUCUCCGAUUUUUACAACCAGUGUAUUCUAACCUUGUAAACGGCCUAUUGUGGAAUUUUUAUGAGUUUUCCAUUAAUGAUUUUCAGUUGUUAUAGUAUAAAAUUAUACGACAGCAAAGACCUCAUCAUGAGAAGUAAGCACACCCUACCUCGUUCGAGUUUCGAGACGAACUCUAAGCAUUUUUAUUUUGAAUACAUCUGGCUGUUGAUGCCACAUUUCCAACUGCGGUUCUUUCUACAUAUCCGGAGGAGGCUCCUAUCCCUGCCUGCUUUAGCUGACACAUUAUUUGAAGAGGGUGGACUUGGAACUUCUCGUCACAAUCAGAAGACUGAUACAUGGAAAGAGGCUCUCGUCAUGUCGGCUACAGACUGGUGAUGAGUUGUGGGGUGCUGGUCCCUGCUAAAAGGCUUCUCUGUUUGCCAGGGUUCCCACCAAUAUCUUUUACCACUUCCUUCACCGUAUUCUACAGCUCACAAGAAUCUGACUUUGAGGCUUUCUGAUUUACCAUGGAAAAGAGCAAUGGUGAUAUUUUGCAUUCUCUGUCUCUGUCUCUGUCUCUGUCUUUCUUCUUUUCCUUCCUUCCUUCCUUCCUUCCUUCCUUCCUUCCUUCCUUCCUUCCUU